GACAGUAUGCCGCAGUGGUCCACCGGGCCAGACUUGAAUUAUCGAGCUAUCUGGUAGGCUUUGCCUUCGCAGGUUCAAAUCCUGCUGCUGUCG